GGCGGCGUGCCUAAUACAUGCAAGUAGAACGCUGAAGGAGGAGCUUGCUUCUCUGGAUGAGUUGCGAACGGGUGAGUAACGCGUAGGUAACCUGCCUGGUAGUGGGGGAUAACUAUUGGAAACGAUAGCUAAUACCGCAUAAUAUUGACUAUUGCAUGAUAGUCAAUUAAAAGGUGCAAUUGCAUCACUACCAGAUGGACCUGCGUUGUAUUAGCUAGUUGGUGGGGUAACGGCUCACCAAGGCGACGAUACAUAGCCGACCUGAGAGGGUGAUCGGCCACACUGGGACUGAGACACGGCCCAGACUCCUACGGGAGGCAGCAGUAGGGAAUCUUCGGCAAUGGACGGAAGUCUGACCGAGCAACGCCGCGUGAGUGAAGAAGGUUUUCGGAUCGUAAAGCUCUGUUGUAAGAGAAGAACGAGUGUGAGAGUGGAAAGUUCACACUGUGACGUAUCUACCAGAAAGGACGCA
rnacentral:rRNA from 1 species